GGAAGGAUCAUUACUGAAUGACGUGUGUCCUGGUUGUGGUAGACCAUUUCCUUCCAUCAGAUUUGGUCAGAUGUUGGACCAGCUGGGAUUCGGUCUACCAUGCCUUUCACCAAACAAACCUGUCGUUGUAUGUAUGGCAUUAAAGCAUAUAAAUAUAACUUUCAACAACGGAUCUCUUGGCUCUCGCAUCGAUGAAGAACGCAGCGAAAUGCGAUAAGUAAUGUGAAUUGCAGAAUUCAGUGAAUCAUCGAAUCUUUGAACGCACCUUGCGCACCUUGGCAUUCCAAGGAGCAUGCCUGUUUGAGUGUCAUCAAAUUCUCAGAACCUCCUACCUGAUGUGGAGGACCAUGGUUGAUGGAGGGCAUGCCCCUCCUCUCUCUGCCUUUGGUCCACUACUUCUUCAGGCAGCGGGGUCUGGAUCGGUGGAGGAUGCAUUGCUGGGCUUAAUAACCCUUUGCUUCUCUGAAAUGGAUCGGCGUCACGGCUUUAUUGUCGGUAUGAUACACAUACAUGUCUUACCUGCUUCCAACCUGUGCCAGCCUUGAACACAACAAAACACGCUCUCAAGAUUUGACCUCAAAUCAGGCAGGACUACCCGCUGAACUUAAGCAUAUCAAUAAGCGGAGGAAAAGAAACUAACAAGGAUUCCCCUAGUAACUGCGAGUGAAGCGGGAAGAGCUCAAAUUUAAAAUCUGGCGGCCCAUGGCUGUCCGAGUUGUAAGCUAGAGAAGCGCUGUCCGCGCUGGGGCCAUGUACAAGUCUCCUGGAACGGAGCGUCAUAGAGGGUGAGAAUCCCGUCUCUGACAUGGACCUCCCAGGGCAUAGCGAUCGCGUUCUCAAAGAGUCGAGUUGUUUGGGAAUGCAGCUCCAAAUGGGUGGUAAACUCCAUCUAAAGCUAAACAUAGGCGAGAGACCGAUAGCGAACAAGUACCGUGAGGGAAAGAUGAAAAGAACUUUGGAAAGAGAGUUAAACAGUACGUGAAAUUGUUGAAAGGGAAACGCUUGAAGUCAGUCAUGUCGGCUUGGGAUCAGCCUUGCAACUGCAAGGUGCACUCCCUGGUCGGCGGGUCAGCAUCAGUUUCGACCGUUGGAGAAAGGUCGGGGGAAUGUGGCAUCCUCGGAUGUGUUUAUAGCCCUCGAUUGCAUGCAUCGGUCGGGAUUGAGGAACUCAGCGCGCCGCAAGGCCGGGUUUUUAAACCACGUCCGCGCUCAGGAUGCUGGCACAAUGGCUUUAAUCGACCCGUCUUGAAACACGGACCAAGGAGUCUAACAUGCCUGCAAGUGUUUGGGUGGAAAACCCAUGCGCGCAAUGAAAGUGAAAGUUGAGAUCUCUGUCGUGGAGAGCAUCGACGCCCGGACCAGACCUUCUGUGAUGGAUCCGCGGUAGAGCAUGCAUGUUGGGACCCGAAAGAUGGUGAACUAUGCCUGAAUAGGGUGAAGCCAGAGGAAACUCUGGUGGAGGCUCGUAGCGAUUCUGACGUGCAAAUCGAUCGUCGAAUUUGGGUAUAGGGGCGAAAGACUAAUCGAACCAUCUAGUAGCUGGUUCCUGC
rnacentral:misc_RNA from 1 species